rnacentral:rRNA from 1 species
UACAUAGGGUGCAAGCGUUGUCCGGAAUUAUUGGGCGUAAAGAGCUCGUAGGUGGUUAGUUACGUCGGGUGUGAAAAUCUGGGGCUCAACCCCAGACCUGCACUCGAUACGGGCUAGCUAGAGUUUGGUAGGGGAGACUGGAAUUCCUGGUGUAGCGGUGGAAUGCGCAGAUAUCAGGAGGAACACCAAUGGCGAAGGCAGGUCUCUGGGCCAAUACUGACACUGAGGAGCGAAAGCGCGGGGAGCGAACAGG